UGGGGAAUAUUGCACAAUGGGGAAGCCCUGAUGCAGCAACGCCGCGUGAAGGAAGACGGUUUUCGGAUUGUAAACUUCUUUUCUUAGUGAAGAAGCAAGUGACGGUAGCUAAGGAAUAAGCAUCGGCUAACUACGUGCCAGCAGCCGCGGUAAUACGUAGGAUGCGAGCGUUAUCCGGAAUUACUGGGUGUAAAGGGAGCGCAGGCGGGACUGCAAGUUGGAUGUGAAAUACCGCAGCUUAACUGCGGAGCUGCAUCCAAAACUGUAGUUCUUGAGUGGAGUAGAGGCAAGCGGAAUUCCGAGUGUAGCGGUGAAAUGCGUAGAUAUUCGGAGGAACACCAGUGGCGAAGGCGGCUUGCUGGGCUCUAACUGACGCUGAGGCUCGAAAGUGUGGGGAGCAAACAGGAUUAGAUACCC
rnacentral:rRNA from 1 species